UUAUAUAAUUUUAUAUUUAGAUUACGAAAAAACUUGAAAGGCUUAUACCUAGUACACCCAACAUUCUGGCUGAAAACCAUUGUUAUCAUGACCAGGCCAUUUGUCAGCACAAAAUUUAGUCGUAAGCUUCAGUUUGUAAGCACACUACAAGAAUUAUCUAAUUUGAUUCCAAUGGACCACAUUUGCAUUCCAGAUAAAGUUAAACAGAUAGAAUUCCAAUGUAUUAUUAAGAUGAAAAAGAAGUCCAU